AAUUCCCAUCACCCCCCCCCAUCCUGGGCAUCCCCAUCAGACCCAUCCCGGGCAUCCCUGUCGCUUCCCAUCACCCCCAUCCUGGGCAUCCUCAUCACCCCCAUCCUGGACAUCCCCAUUGCCCUCAUCCCCAGCACUCCCAUCACUCCCAUCCUGGGCAUCCCCAUUGCUUCCCAUCACCCUCUAUCCCAGCAAUCCUCAUCACCCCCAUCCCAGGCAUCCCCAUCGCUUCCCAUUGCCCCCCAUCCCGGCUACCCCCAUCUCCCCCAUCCUGGGCAACUUCAUCACUCCCCAUCCCAGUCAUCCCCAUCACACCCAUCCCGGGUGGCCAGGAUGUCCCACGUGGCCAGGACACCACGGUCCCUGGGGUGGCGUCCCCACCACCCAGUACCUAUUGCCUGGCUCCCAUCCAUGGGAGCCCGGGGCAACGGGGCGAAGGCCACCCGCGCAGGGCCAGGACAGGGCAAUGGCAGCACCCUGGAGCGGGCAGGCUCCCGCGGGGUGCCCCCAGCCCGGGGUGCCACGGUGCCACCACGCAGGUUUCCACGAGCGCAACGGGAAGCCGUACUGCCGCCAGGACUUCCUGGCCAUGUUCGCGCCCAAGUGCCAGGGCUGCGAGCACCCCGUGACGGACGACUACCUGUCGGCCCUGCAAGGCGUCUGGCACCCCGAGUGCUUCGUGUGCGCGGAUUGCCUGUGCUGCUUCGCCAGCGGCUCCUUCUUCGAGCUGGAGGGUCGACCCUACUGCGAGCUGCACUUCCACCAGCGCCAGGGCAGCGCCUGCCACGGCUGCGGGCGCCCCGUGGCCGGCCGCUGCGUCACGGCUGCCGGGCGCAAGUACCACCCCGAGCACUUCAUCUGCGCCUACUGCCUGGGCCAGCUGCAGAAGGGCGGCUUCCGCGAGCGCGCCGACAAGCUCUACUGCCGGGCCUGCCACGACAAGCUCUUCCUGUGACCAGCGCCGGCGUCCCCACCGGCGUCCCCAUCCCCCCCCCCCGCGAAGGAAUAAACAGCGCCGAAGCCGGAGCCCACCCAAACCUUGUCCCCUUGUCGUGGAGAUGUGUUAUAACCUGGGCUAUUCCCCUCAUCCGGCUGCCUCCCCGCAGCUGCCAUGCCGGCCCCCGCCUCGCACUCCUUUUCGGGAAGGGGUCACAGCCUUGCUUUCGGAAGGGCUCGGGGGGGGGGAUUCAGCCUGCGCGGUGCUGCCAGCCCCGGGCGCAGGAAGCAGGCUGGCUGCCUGCAGCGCGUGGGAACUCUUAUCGGGGCGCCGGCGGGGGUAAGAUUUUCAGCCGCAUCCGGCCUCGCACACAACCCCCCCCUACCGAGAGCGGCUCCAGGCCGCCCCGCCGCCGCACGGGAGCGAGCGGGCCAAAAAACUUCCCCGGGAUGUGGCUGCAGCCCUGGAAGUCGCCCACCUGCCAGGGAAAGGUCGUCCCCACCGGCUCGUCCCACCCUUACUCCCGACCCCUUCCCGGAUUCGGCCACCACCAGCAGCUCCCACAAACCUGGGGGCUUCCGGGCAGCAGCACAACAGGCCUGUGCACUAAGGGAACAUUUGGGGCUGCCCCCAUGGCAAUGCGGGGGGGGGGGAAGACAGGGGCUGGAGCCCCCUUUGGAGAGCGACCCAAGUUUAGCGUUUCUCACCCCAAAAUAAUUUGGGAGGGGCAGGGCCGCAAUUGAAGGGCCCGGCCGCCGCGCAGGAUGCGGGAAGCCAGCAGCGCCGCCCAACCGCUGCGAAGCCGAGAAGCCGUUUCCUCCGUCAGGCCGCGGUUACAGGGCANNNNNNNNNNNNNNNNNNNNNNNNNNNNNNNNNNNNNNNNNNNNNNNAAAAAAAAAAAAAAAAAAAAGAAUCGUUUCGGGUGAAAUCGUUGCAGCGUGAAACCAGGCGGAAGGUUUAAAGCCGGUUUUAAGCAGAGCUCAGAGGGUUGCAUGCAAGAGCUGCAGUACUCGAUACUAAACAGAGAUAAGGACCAGGCCUAGGGCAUUUCACACUUCACUACCCCCCCCCCACAACACUUGCCUCGGCGCACGCGCCCCCACACUUUAAAAACUUUAUUUAUAUAAAAAAAUCAUUUCGUUUUAAAAGCGUUACAAGAGUGUGCACAGGAAUCAAGACAACGAACAGCAGGUUGCCCCCUAGCUCCCCUCUGUCCUCCCCCCGCCACUCCCGGGAGAGCCAGGGAUGAGAGGAGGGAAGGGGGGAAGCUUUGGGGGUUUUGUUUUGUUUUGUUUUUUUGGUUCAUCUGGAAUUAAAAAUUAAAAAAAGAAGGAAUUAGUGUUUUACAUACGUAAGAAACGAAAAGGAGAGUUAGACCCCAGAACAAAACCAAACCGAGCUGAGAUGGGGGCUGGAGGCAGACAGGACUUGCAGCCACGGAGCCGGGAGGUGCUUUCGGGGAGGGGGGGAGCGAGAGGCACGGAUUUACGCGUACCCCCCCUCCGUGCAGUGUGCGGGAGCCCAUGGAGGGGGGGGACAGCACCCAUAGCAAGAAGGGGGGGGGAAGGUCCUCGCCUCCAGCUACAAACUGGGGAGGGCUCCAGCUCCAGUUUGCAGCCUCACAAGGAGGCUUCCAAUUGCACAGGGAGCCCACGGUCCCCCAUCUCCCCCCCCCCAAGAUUGCAGCACUUAAGUGUCCCCUCCCCGGACAGCAGAGGGGACAGGCCUGUGGCGCCCCAGCUC
ensembl:lncRNA